UGGGAGCUUGCUCCCAUUUCUCAGCGGCGGACGGGUGAGUAACACGUGGGCAACCUGCCCUACAGACUGGGAUAACUCCGGGAAACCGGAGCUAAUACCGGGUAAUACAUAGCAUCGCAUGAUGCAACGUUGAAAGUUGGCCUUUGGCUAACACUGUAGGAUGGGCCCGCGGCGCAUUAGCUAGUUGGUAAGGUAACGGCUUACCAAGGCCACGAUGCGUAGCCGACCUGAGAGGGUGAUMGGCCACACUGGGACUGAGACACGGCMMAGACUCCUACGGGAGGCAGCWGUAGGGAAUCUUCCGCAAUGGACGAAAGUCUGACGGAGCAACGCCGCGKGAGUGACGAAGGCCUUCGGGUCGUAAAGCUCUGUUGUUAGGRAAGAACAAGUACCGUUCGAAUAGGGCGGUACCUUGACGGUACCUAACCAGAAAGCCACGGCUAACUACGUGCCAGCAGCCGCGGUAAUACGUAGGUGGCAAGCGUUGUCCGGAAUUAUUGGGCGUAAAGCGCGCGCAGGCKGUCUCUUAAGUCUGAUGUGAAAGCCCACGGCUCAACCGUGGAGGGCCAUUGKAAACUGGGGGACUUGAGUGCAGAARAGGAGAGUGRAAUUCCACGUGUAGCGGUGAAAUGCGUA
rnacentral:rRNA from 1 species